UCGGCCACAUCACACUGAGACACUGAUCACCAUACGAUCACCGAAGUUAAGCAACGCCAAGCCUGGUCAAUACCUAGAUGGGUGACCGCAUGGGUACACCAGGUGCUGUAAG